rnacentral:rRNA from 1 species
UUAUAUCAUUAAAUUUAAAAGAUUUGGCGGUAUUUUAUAUGAUUAGAGGAACCUGUGUAUGAAUUGAUGAUCCACGAUAAGAUUUACUUAAUUAUUUAUGUAUUGCUGUUUUAAAAUUAUUAUUAAUUAAAUUUUUUUAAAGUUAAUAUAAUUUAAUUCAAGUCAAAAUAUAGUAUAAUUAAGAUAUGGGUUACAUUUUAAUUUUGAGAUUGGAUUUAAUAGUAA